CCUACGGGUGACCGCAGUUGGGGAUAUUGGACAAUGGGGGGAACCCUGAUCCAGCGACGCCGCGUGAGUGCAGAAGUAUUUCGGUAUGUACAGCUCUGUCAGCAGGGAAGAAAGAAAUGACGGUACCUUACCAAGAAGCCCCGGGUAACUACGGGCCAGCCGCCGCGGUAAUACGUAGGGGGCAAGUGUUAACCGGAAUUACUGGGUGUAAAGGGAGCGUAGACGGUUAAGUAAGUCUGGAGUGAAAGGCCCGGGCCCAACCCCGGGACUGCUCUGGAAACUAUUGAACUUGAGUGCAGGAGAGGUAAGCGGAAUUCCUAGUGUAGCGGUGAAAUGCGUAGAUAUUAGGAGGAACACCAGUGGCGAAGGCGGCUUACUGGACUGUAACUGACGUUGAGGCUCGAAAGCGUGGGGAGCAAACAGGAUUAGAUACCCGAGUAGUC
rnacentral:rRNA from 1 species